UACGUAGGUGGCAAGCGUUGUUCGGAAUUAUUGGGCGUAAAGGGCGCGUAGGCGGUUUGUUAAGUCAGCUGUGAAAGCCCGGGGCUCAACCCCCGGAGAGUCGACUGAUACUGGCAAACUAGAGUACGGAAGAGGUAGCUGGAAUUCCCGGUGUAGCGGUGAAAUGCGUAGAGUAUCGGGAGGAACACCUGAGGCGAAGGCGGGCUACUGGGCCGAUACUGACGCUGAUGCGCGAAAGCCAGGGGAGCAAACGGG
rnacentral:rRNA from 1 species